rnacentral:rRNA from 1 species
UACAGAGGUCUCAAGCGUUGUUCGGAUUCAUUGGGCGUAAAGGGUGUGUAGGUGGCGCGCUAAGUCAGGGGUGAAAUCCUGGAGCUCAACUCCAGAACUGCCUUUGAUACUGGCGAUCUUGAGUCCGGGAGAGGUGAGUGGAACUGCGAGUGUAGAGGUGAAAUUCGUAGAUAUUCGCAAGAACACCAGUGGCGAAGGCGGCUCACUGGCCCGGUACUGACGCUGAGGCGCGAAAGCGUGGGGAGCAAACAGG